GAUGAACGCUGGCGGCGUGCCUAAUACAUGCAAGUCGAGCGAACAGACGAGGAGCUUGCUCCUCUGACGUUAGCGGCGGACGGGUGAGUAACACGUGGAUAACCUACCUAUAAGACUGGGAUAACUUCGGGAAACCGGAGCUAAUACCGGAUAAUAUAUUGAACCGCAUGGUUCAAUAGUGAAAGACGGUUUUGCUGUCACUUAUAGAUGGAUCCGCGCCGCAUUAGCUAGUUGGUAAGGUAACGGCUUACCAAGGCGACGAUGCGUAGCCGACCUGAGAGGGUGAUCGGCCACACUGGAACUGAGACACGGUCCAGACUCCUACGGGAGGCAGCAGUAGGGAAUCUUCCGCAAUGGGCGAAAGCCUGACGGAGCAACGCCGCGUGAGUGAUGAAGGUCUUCGGAUCGUAAAACUCUGUUAUUAGGGAAGCACAAAUGUGUAAGUAACUAUGCACGUCUUGACGGUACCUAAUCAGAAAGCCACGGCUAACUACGUG
rnacentral:rRNA from 1 species